GAUGAAGAACGCAGCGAAAUGCGAUAAGUAAUGUGAAUUGCAGAAUUCAGUGAAUCAUCGAAUCUUUGAACGCACAUUGCGCCCGCCAGUAUUCUGGCGGGCAUGCCUGUUCGAGCGUCAUUUCAACCAUCAAGCCCUGCUUGCGUUGGGGUCCUGCGGCUGCCCGCAGGCCCUGAAAACCAGUGGCGGGCUCGCUAGUCACACCGAGCGCAGUAAUACAUCUCGCUUUGGGCGUGCGGCGGGUUCUUGCCGUUAAACACCCCCUUUUUACCAAGGUUAACCUCGGAUCAGGUAGGAAUACCCGCUGAACUUAAGCAUAUCAAUAAGCGGAGGA
rnacentral:misc_RNA from 1 species